rnacentral:tRNA from 1 species
GGCGAUGUAGCUCAGUGGCAGAGUGCUGACUUCGCAUGCGAGAGGUCCUCGGUUCGAUUCCCGGUGUCUCCA